CAACCAUCAAGCCCCCGGCUUGUGUUGGGGACCUGCGGCUGCCGCAGGCCCUGAAAUGCAGUGGCGGGCUCGCUGUCACUCCGAGCGUAGUAGUUACAUCUCGCUCUGGGCGUGCUGCGGGUUCCGGCCGUUAAAAAGCCUUAUUUACCCAA
rnacentral:misc_RNA from 1 species